rnacentral:rRNA from 1 species
UACGUAGGGUGCGAGCGUUAAUCGGAAUUACUGGGCGUAAAGCGUGCGCAGGCGGUUCGUUAUGUCCGAUGUGAAAGCCCCCGAGCUCAACUUGGGAAUGGCAUUGGAAACUGGCGGGCUGGAGUGUGGCAGAGGGGGGGUGGAAUUCCACGUGUAGCAGUGAAAUGCGUAGAGAUGUGGAGGAACACCAGUGGCGAAGGCGGCUCACUGGCCCGGUACUGACGCUGAGGUGCGAAAGCGUGGGGAGCAAACAGG